UGUUUUCAAUAAUCUCCGUCCUGGUUCUGUUCGUAAUUAGUUGUGAUUUUGUAGUUGACUUUGCUCUGAUUCCAAAUUGGCUUUUCGUUUGGGGGUUUUCCAUAAAGAUCAGAUAGAUCCCAAAAUUGAGUUGGGUUGGAUUUCGUUCGAUUGAACCUUUAAUCAAAUAAGAUGAAAUGGAAGCCAUUAGUAGUUCGUUCGUCUUGUAAAAACUUAAGAACUGCUGGGUUGAUAUUUAGCAGAAGCGUUGAUAUCCUCAAUAAUCUUCUAGUAAUUUAAUGCAUAAUCUAUGUAUACGUGCUCUGUGUGAGGAUGAACCAGAUAGGUGGAUUUGCUAAAAUUGAUUGGCACGUACCAUUGUGGUCAAGAGACCUCAGUUUCAUCAUGAUUCGUUCACCAUCGUUGUGGCACUAAGACAGGUGAUCUAUGAAUAUUUUAUGUGAAUCCUUUUGAUGCAAAGGAAGCUUUGAUUAGAGGAGUUAAGAAAAUGGCUUGUACUUGUAAGAUUGAUGGAUUGGCGGAUAUGAGGAGAUUUUAAAGAAGGGGAAAAUUUGUGGGGUUUUAUUAACUGUUAACACGCUUGAUUUCUUAGAAGCAUAUUUAGAGAUAAUAGGUAAUUUUUGUGGGUUUAUUCCAGCCAAAUUUGAGAUUUAACAUCCAAGUGAACGGAGAUUUGUCGUGCAAGCUGUGACCUAGCCAUUCUUCGAAACUUUUGGCUAGUAGUGUGAGCAAAAUUUCCAACAAAGUUGUUUGGAUGAUGUUGUUUAGAAUGUUCAUAACAACUUCAUAGUAUUGCUUGAUUGAGAUAGAAGUUGAAGAUAAAUUCAGCUACUUUGUUUUGCUGUUCAAGGGUUUUUUCUUUGACUUUAAAUCAUGCCCAUAGGAUCUUUCUUCGUGCGGUUAAUGCACGGAAGAAAGUGUAUUUAGUAUGGAGGACAUUAAUAAGUGUAUGAAUAAGAAUCUCCUCAGCCUCAAUGUCAUCUGAGACCAACUCAUUCAACUGUAAUUUCUGUAAGAUCUUGAACAUCUAAAAUGUGAGAUAAUGAAGCUGACUGUUUUAGCAGAUUGAAAAUUUUCCUCGAAACAGAAAAUCGAAUAGAUUCUUGCAGAUGCAUUCAACCCUUGUUAUUAGUCGAUGUAACAGUCUAGAAGGAUUUGUAUAUAAGACUGCAGCUCUUAUUGGUUUUUUUAAUGUAUGAUUUGUGCAUUAGAAGUAAAA